CAGGUGCGUUGACCUAUACACAUCGUGUCGUUAUUACAGUUCAUAUUCAUCCGCUGCACAAUAAUUUUUUACAGAUCAGACGUGACCCGUCGAGUAAUUGGUCCACGUGCAGUUCGUUUUUUACAUUCCGUGGAAGCUUGGCUGCAGAACCUCGGACGGCACAUAGCUGGCGUCGAUCCUUGGACAGUCCAGGUGGAGGCGCGCGCUGAAAGAAGAGUUCUUCUGUCUUCAACUGCGUCACUGGAACCGCUGAAAUGAAAAUUUCUAUACUAC